AUGCUCCUUAGUGCCCAUGGCAUUGCUGCUCCAUCCUCGCUGCUGCUCUGCUCCUAUUGCUCUUCUCUGGUGCUCCCGGCUGGCCGAUUCCUGGUGCUGCUGGAGGCGAUGCUGUGGUUCACACAGCAUCAGGCACGCCGGGGGUGGGGGCUGCACCCGAGGGACAGGGGCUCCUUGCUGCUGCUGGUCCCUCCUGCAGCUGCAGCUGGUGUUUCCCUGUGGCAGGAGACGGGGGAGGGGGACCAUGGGAUGGAAAGUUGGCAGGCAGCAGAGAGGGGAGUGGAAAGAAUGAGCUCAAACCCAGAAAAAUGCGGCCGUGCUGGAGGAUGGGAGGAGUGGGAGGAGAGGCCAAGGGGGGCCACGGUGAGGCGCUGGGAAAGAGAGGGGGUGGAAGGAGGAGGGAGGGUGGAAGGAGAAGUUGCUGGCAGGGGGCCAGGAACUGCCUGUGGCCCCCAUCUGGGCCCACUCCUGGUGGUACCAACUGCUCCAGCGAGUGCUCUCGGGGCUAUCCCAGUGCCAUCUGCCUUUGGGCAGCCACUGGCUCCAGUGCUGUCUGUCCCUGGGUGGCCAUCGGUCCCAAUGUCAUCCAUCCCCGCGUGGCCACCAGCCCCAAUACAGUCUCCCCCCUGUCCCAUGGGCUCCCUGGUGCCACCAGCCCCGGUGCCCCCCACCCUGCUCCGGGACCCCGCUGGCUCCUCGCUGGCAUGUGGCCACCCUGGGACAGCAGCCCCCGACUCCUCCACCUCGCUCUGCACAGCGACGCUGCCCUUUGUGAGGAUUCCCAAGGCAGGCUGGCGUUCAGAAGGGGGCAGUGACGGGGUCAGGAGCUGUGCUGUGCCAGGCUGGGCCGUGGCAGGCAGCAGGGUGGGAUGCAGGGGGGUGUGUGGGCUCACUGCCUUCUGCUGCCCAUCCUUCCCCGCUCUGGGAGCAGCAGUCGCAGGGAGAGGGCAGCAUCCCGGGCAGGAGGCCAACCCCGCAGAGAGGGGUUCCCAGGAGGCCUUCCCAUCUGCCCUCCGCCUGAAACACGGAACUAUGAAUCACCCCGGUCCUGAAAUAGAUUCUUUAUAUUUAAAAUACAAAAUUUAA
ensembl:lncRNA